rnacentral:rRNA from 1 species
CCUACGGGAGGCAGCAGUGAGGAAUAUUGGUCAAUGGCCGUAAGCCUGAACCAGCCAAGCCGCGUGAGGGACGAAGGUUCCAAGCAUUGUAAACUUCUUUUGUCAGGGGACAAAAUCUGGCUCGAGAGCCUGACCGAGUGUACUUUAUGAAUAAGCAUCGGCUAACUCCGUGCCAGCAGCCGCGGUAAUACGGAGGAUCCGAGCGUUAUCCGGAUUUAUUGGGUUUAAAGGGUGCGUGGGCGGGCUGUUAAGUCAGCGGUAAAAGCCAGGGGCUCAACCCCGGCUAGCCGUUGAAACUGGUUGUCUUGAGAUGGUGAGAGGUAGGCGGAAUGCGCAGUGUAGCGGUGAAAUGCUUAGAUAUUGCGCAGAACUCCGAUUGCGAAGGCAGCAUACCGG